AAGAACACAAAUAUACAUACACAAAGAGAGAGAGAGAGAAAGAGGGAGAGAAAGGAAGAGAGAAAAGAGUGCGAGAGCAAACGAGCUUCCUCCUUCAAAGAAGACACGUUUUUCCUGUGAAUCCACAGCAUCUAUUUUUUAAAUUACAAACUAUUGCUAUAUUUUAAAUUUUAAUAUACACACACAACAGAUCUUAAUAUAUUGAUUAAUUCGUGGGACGAAAAACAAAAUGAACAUUUGUGAAAGUGUUAAUUAAUAUUUCUCGUGAAUUUACUGCCUAUGGUUGGUCGUUUGAUCUUUUCUUUUUUUGUAAUAAAUGUUCGUGUGAAUAAUAAUACACGACAAAAUAAACAAUAACGACGCGGUAAUUUGAACACAAAUGACAAUGAAUUUUGGAAGACAGAGGAACGCCAGAAAAACGUGUCGGUUUGGAUCAAAAUUGUUUUCGCGCGCCCGCAAAAAAAAAAAAAAAUCCGUUCCGAAUCCGUUUCUCAGCGUUCAUAGAAAAUGGCCGCCAAGUUUUGCGUCUGCGCGCGUGAAAGCAACUUUCCAGUCUUUCGUAAAUAAGCGCAUGAAAAAGAUACUAUUUUUUUUUGUCUUAAUUUCCUGUUACACAAACACACACGCAAACACACACGGGAGGGGAGUAUUUGCGAAUGAUAUCUAAUCGAGAAAAAAUAAUACUCGCUGCGCAAUAUAACGAUGGCAUUGUCGAUUAUUUAAUGAGAAGCAAAAAAGCGUUAUCUUAAAACCGUUGAGUAUCGGCUGUUAUUUUUCACACACGUACACACACACACACACACAUAUAUACACUGAUAAAAAUUAUAUACAAGUCUUUUUGACGUUCUUACAUGAAUCUUAAAAUGUGCAAAAUAAUACACACCGACAAUCGGUGUUGUUCUGUUAUUUUUCUUCAUGUGAUUGUGGACAAUGUGACGUGUUUAAGAUUCGUCACGCUAAUCUUUUUUUUUUUUUUUGUUUUGCAAAUUUGCUACAAGAAAGAAAAACAAAAAAGACAUCAUCUCGCGUUUCUGCGUGUUCCUCUCCCGUUUCGAGCGCACCACGUUCGUUUUUCUUCGCGUCUGUUACUUCUUAUAUACGUUUCUCUUCGUAAGUUUAAACUUAUACACACACAUAUAUAUAUGUAUAAACCGAAUAUCCCCCCCCGUAGUAAGCUGAUUAUUUCCCGAAACUCUGGUCUGCUUUAAUGAAACGGUGAUAGAAACGUAUUAUGUUGCGAGAAAAGAAAAGGAAAGAGAGAGAAAAAGAAAGAAAGAAGAUAUGUGUGUCGUUUAUCUCGAAAGUGGGCGAAAUCGGGAAAAAAAAAAGAAAUUACGGAGACGCGAGAACGAAGUUGACACGUGCGACGAGAGAAUCGAUCACUUUCGAGAUAAACGAACACAGAUAUAGGCUUCUGAUCUGCAGCGCGUACGCUUUGUAUUCGCGAAAAUGCGGUGAAUAAAAAAAAAAUAAACAAAAAGCAAUGAUUUGACAAUCCCGAUUAUUGGAGUAUAGCGUAUAUUAUUGUACGAACAAUGUUACGGUUGUUACGAUGUAAUCGGAUUGUCGUUGUUGGUAAAACAAAAAACAAAAAAAAAAGAAGAAGAAGAAGAAGAUUCGCGCGAAACCCAAGAUCGUUUCUGUGCAAAGCGUACGCGUCUGUAAAUAAUAAAAAAAAAGAUUGCGGGAAAAUAGAGAUGACGGAUUGUGUGGAUAUCGUUAUCUAGAAGGAAAAGGAGAUGAAGAGCCGAACUGCGAAUCUUAUUAGAGAACGUUAAUGAUAAUAGUUUAUAAGGAGAUAUCAAGAGAGUCGCGAUCUCUGUGAUGAGAUGAAAUGACAAACGUUUGAGAGUAAAACAGUCAGACGAUGAUUUUCCCCCCUCCGUGUCACCGUGACAAUUUUCGUCGCGGACACGAAAAGAAAAAACAAAACACAAACACAGCGACAAACAAAGAAAGGCAAUUUCACCCGUUGCGAUUUUUAGAGUACAUUAAGACAUAGAACCGUAAUCUAUACUUUGUAGCGAUGUAAAAGAAAAAAAAACAGAAGCUUACUACUUAAGAUUUUGACUGGAGUUAAAUAAUAGACGUAUGUUACAUUAAGGAUUGAGAGAAUUGCGUGCGUUUAUAUACACACACACACAUGAGAGGAGGGAGCAUCAAUCGACAAUGAUAGUAAAAUAGGCGAUGAUUAUACAUUUAAAGAAUUUGUAAAUAAUAAGCGUAAGAGAGAAAAGCGUACGAAUGCCCGCGGUGAAACAGAAAGAGAAAGAGAGAGCAGAGAUGAAGAAAAUUAUUUUGCUACGCGAGGAGGAGGAUGGACUUCCGGAAAAACCGCACGAGCGUGGUUCUUUCUUUUUUUUUUUUUUUUUUACAUUGGCGGCUCGUUCGAACGAUGUAAAUUUUUAAACGAAGAAAAACUGCGAGAAUACGAGAGAAAAAACAGAAGAAAGGAAGAAGUUGGCGAAGGAGACUCGUCGUUACGCGCAAAAACGAGAUGGUCCGUCGACGAUGGUCUGUCCGUUUCGGCAACGAUCCGCGAUACAUGUCAGGAUCUAUAAUGAGAGACGUUGCUGACGUCGCGGCGAUGACGGGAGGCAUUAUCGCACGCGAGGAAGGACAUUUACCAGCAGCGAUGCCAUCUUUCGACGCGCAUCCCGUUGUUUUUGCUGCGAAACAAUUGUCUCGUGCUUGCGCGUCCGACGAGAAGAUUCCGCAAAGAGAUUGAAGAAUCGGCGAGGGAAAAAUUAAAAAAACAAAAAAAAAACAAAAAAAAGUGAGGAGAAGAAUGUUGACUUCGCUCGCUGCUGCAUUCUGUCUAACCUUCGUGUGAAGAAUGUAGACUUCGCAACUUUCUUUAUGAAGAACUAGAUCGACGAAGAAGAAGAAGAAGAAGAAGAAGAAGAAGAAGAAGAAGAAGAAAGACGAGGACGGUAACAUUCAGAAAAGAGGACGGGCAAAAGGAAAUUGAAGGCUUUCCGGAAGCUGUCCAUUUAAAUAUACUCGACCAUAGUCUGUCGAGAAAAACAGAAGACGGAAAAAAAAAAAAAAAAACGUAAUUGUUUAUAUCGUACUGUGCUUUUGCACGUUUAUUAAAACUGGCGCGUUUCUUGAAGAUGAAAUUUAUAAAGUUCACAGAAAAGCUAAGUUAGCCGUAAAAGACAGAGAAUUAUUAUAAAGAAGAAAGGAAAACGGAGGAUGGAGAUUUAAGGAAACGUAAUGUUCUUAGGUGUGAAUGAUCGCGAAGAACGGAGCAGCAAAUAUAUAUAAAAAAGCUCUCCGUUCGUUGGCAGAGCGAUAGUCUGAGUGUGAGCGAGUGAUUGGAAGCGAGUGUUUAAGAUUUUCAAGAAGAAAAAUGGACCAGAAAAAAAUGUCUUUUUUUAAUAUAAAAGGCACCAAAAAAAAAAAA